GACGAACGCUGGCGGCGUGCUUAACACAUGCCAGUCGAACGGAAAGGCCCUGCUUUUGUGGGGUGCUCGAGUGGCGAACGGGUGAGUAACACGUGAGUAACCUGCCCUUGACUUUGGGAUAACUUCAGGAAACUGGGGCUAAUACCGGAUAGGAGCUCCUGCUGCAUGGUGGGGGUUGGAAAGUUUCGGCGGUUGGGGAUGGACUCGCGGCUUAUCAGCUUGUUGGUGGGGUAGUGGCUUACCAAGGCUUUGACGGGUAGCCGGCCUGAGAGGGUGACCGGCCACAUUGGGACUGCGAUACGGCCCAGACUCGUACGGGAGGCAGCAGUGGGGAAUAUUGCACAAUGGGCGGAAGCCUGAUGCAGAAACGCCGCGUGCGGGAUGACGGCCUUCGGGUUGUAAACCGCUUUCGCCUGUGACGAAGCGUGAGUGACGGUAAUGGGUAAAGAAGCACCGGCUAACUACGUG
rnacentral:rRNA from 1 species